GGGGAUGAAAGGAUUUCGACGGGGACAGAGAAACAAGGUAAGCGAGUAGUGGAGUUGCACCACUUAAAAAGUAACACUUAAAAAAUAACUGACAACAAUAGAUCAGUAGCUCUGGCUGCUUAAUUGCACCAGCGUUCUGCCUCUGAGUGCCACGGCGGAGGACAGGGCGUCGACUAGUGGCGAACAUGAACAGGGGAGCGUUCCGACCCCUGUCAGGUAUCAGGAACUACCGUAGCGCACAGUCUGUUUGCCGGCGAAGCGUGAGGGGAAUCCAAAGCGACAGAAUACACUCGUAGAAAGCUUUGCGGACAUGUUUUCGGACGCGGUUUCGAUUGCCGCCAUCUCCACCA
rnacentral:tmRNA from 1 species